rnacentral:rRNA from 1 species
GUCUUCAUGUGAUGUAUUAUGAAGUCGUGCCUGCCCACUGAUGAUAUUAAAGGGCCGCGGUAUUUUGACUGUGCAAAGGUAGCAUAAUCAUUAGUCUUUUAAUUGAGGGCUGGUAUGAAUGGUUUGACGAGAUAACAUCUGUCUCUUUAAUAGAGAUUGAAUUUUACUUUUAAGUUAAAAGGCUUAAAUUUUGGUUGGGGACGAGAAGACCCUAUAGAUCUUGAUUCAUUAAGUAUUGGAAGUUGCUUUGGUUUGUUUAUGUCUGCUAGUACAAGUGAAUUUGGUUGGGGUGAUGAGAGAAUAAAUUUAACUUCUUGUUUUUAAAACUAUGAUUAUUGGUUAUUUUGAUCCUUUAUUAUGGAUAAAAGAAGAAGAUACCUUAGGGAUAACAGCGUUAUUUUAUUUGAGAGUUCUUAUCGACAAUGAAGAUUGCGACCUCGAUGUUGAAUUAAGAUUAUAAUUUGGUGUAGUGGCUUAAUUAUGUUAGUCUGUUCGACUAUUAAAAUCUUACA